CUGGCGGCGUGCUUAACACAUGCAAGUCGAACGAGAAAGGUCCUUCGGGAGUGAGUAGAGUGGCGCACGGGUGAGUAAUGCAUAGGAACAUGCCUUCAAGAGGGGAAGUAACCACGGGAAACUGUGGCUAAUACCGCAUGAUGUAGAGAUACCAAAGGGGGCCUUUGGCUCUCGCUUGGAGAGUGGCCUAUGUCCCAUUAGCUUGUUGGUAGGGUAAAGGCUUACCAAGGCGACGAUGGGUAGCUGGUCUGAGAGGAUGAUCAGCCACACUGGAACUGAGACACGGUCCAGACUCCUACGGGAGGCAGCAGUGGGGAAUAUUGCACAAUGGGCGCAAGCCUGAUGCAGCAACGCCGCGUGAGUGAAGAAGGUCUUCGGAUUUGUAAAGCUCUUUCGCUAGGAACGCAGGGUAUGUAUGCAAAUAGCAUAUAUAUUUGACGGUACUUAGAUAAGCAGCACCGGCUAACUCCGUGCCAGCAGCCGC
rnacentral:rRNA from 1 species